CCCUUCACUCUGGGACAAGCCCUGGAAACGGGGUCUAAUACCGGAUACCAUCUCGCGCAGGCAUCUGUGCGGGUUGAAAGCUCCGGCGGUGAAGGAUGAGCCCGCGGCCUAUCAGCUUGUUGGUGAGGUAACGGCUCACCAAGGNGANGACGGGUAGCCGGCCUGAGAGGGCGACCGGCCACACUGGGACUGAGACACGGCCCAGACUCCUACGGGAGGCAGCAGUGGGGAAUAUUGCACAAUGGGCGAAAGCCUGAUGCAGCGACGCCGCGUGAGGGAUGACGGCCUUCGGGUUGUAAACCUCUUUCAGCAGGGAAGAAGCGAAAGUGACGGUACCUGCAGAAGAAGCGCCGGCUAACUACGUGCCAGCAGCCGCGGUAAUACGUAGGGCGCAAGCGUUGUCCGGAAUUAUUGGGCGUAAAGAGCUCGUAGGCGGCUUGUCACGUCGGGUGUGAAAGCCCGGGGCUUAACCCCGGGUCUGCAUUCGAUACGGGCUAGCUAGAGUGUGGUAGGGGAGAUCGGAAUUCCUGGUGUAGCGGUGAAAUGCGCAGAUAUCAGGAGGAACACCGGUGGCGAAGGCGGAUCUCUGGGCCAUUACUGACGCUGAGGAGCGAAAGCGUGGGGAGCGAACAGGAUUAGAUACCCUGGUAGUCCACGCCGUAAACGGUGGGAACUAGGUGUUGGCGACAUUCCACGUCGUCGGUGCCGCAGCUAACGCAUUAAGUUCCCCGCCUGGGGAGUACGGCCGCAAGGCUAAAACUCAAAGGAAUUUGACGGGGGCCCGCACUAAGCAGCGGAGCAUGUGGCUUAAUUCGACGCAACGCGAAGAACCUUACCAAGGCUUGACAUACACCGGAAACCACCAGAGAUGGUGCCCCCCUUGUGGUCGGUGUACAGGUGGUGCAUGGCUGUCGUCAGCUCGUGUCGUGAGAUGUUGGGUUAAGUCCCGCAACGAGCGCAACCCUUGUCCUGUGUUGCCAGCAUGCCCUUCGGGGUGAUGGGGACUCACAGGAGACCGCCGGGGUCAACUCGGAGGAAGGUGGGGACGACGUCAAGUCAUCAUGCCCCUUAUGUCUUGGGCUGCACACGUGCUACAAUGGCAGGUACAAUGAGCUGCGAAACCGUGAGGUGGAGCGAAUCUCAAAAAGCCUGUCUCAGUUCGGAUUGGGGUCUGCAACUCGACCCCAUGAAGUCGGAGUUGCUAGU
rnacentral:rRNA from 1 species